CGCACGAGCGCACCCUUGCCCUUAGUUGCCAGCACAUAAUGGUGGGCACUCUAAGGGGACUGCCGGUGAAAAACCGGAGGAAGGUGGGGAUGACGUCAAGUCCUCAUGGCCUUUAUGUCCAGGGCUACACACGUGCUACAAUGGGUGGUACAGAGAGUUGCAAACCUGCGAGGGGGAGCUAAUCUCAAAAAGCCAUCCUCAGUUCGGAUUGGAGUCUGCAACUCGACUCCAUGAAGUUGGAAUCGCUAGUAAUCGCGGAUCAGCAUGCCGCGGUGAAUACGUUCCCGGGCCUUGUACACACCGCCCGUCACAUCACGAAAGCCGUUUGUACUAGAAGCCGGUGAUUCAACCUUCGGGAGAUAGCCGUCCAAGGUAUGAAUGGUGAUUGGGGUGAAGUCGUAACAAGGUAGCCGUAGGAGAACCUGUGGCUGGAUCA
rnacentral:rRNA from 1 species